GACGAACCGGACAAACGUUAUUCGGAAUUACUGGGCUUAAAGGGUUUGUAGGCGGCCUUGUAAGUCAGGUGUGAAAUCCCUCGGCUCAACCGAGGAAUAGCGCUUGAUACUGCAAGGCUUGAGGGAGACAGGGGUAAGCGGAACUGAUGGUGGAGCGGUGAAAUGCGUUGAUAUCAUCAGGAACACCGGUGGCGAAAGCGGCUUACUGGGUCUCUUCUGACGCUGAGGAACGAAAGCUAGGGUAGCGAACGGG
rnacentral:rRNA from 1 species